rnacentral:rRNA from 1 species
CAGUAGCCGCGGUAAAACGAAGGGGGCUAGCGUUGUUCUGAUUUACUGGGCGUAAAGGGCGCGUAGGCGGGCGAUUAAGUCAGAGGUGAAAUCCCAAGGCUCAACCUUGGAACUGCCUUUGAUACUGGUUGUCUUGAGUCCGGGAGAGGUGAGUGGAACUGCGAGUGUAGAGGUGAAAUUCGUAGAUAUUCGCAAGAACACCAGUGGCGAAGGCGGCUCACUGGCCCGGAACUGACGCUGAGGUGCGAAAGCGUGGGGAGCAAACAGGAUUAGAUACCCCCGUAGUCCCUGUCUCUUAUAC